rnacentral:sRNA from 1 species
CGCUGCACCAGGAGCUGUCCUUUGGUGUCCAUAUUCUCACAUGAUGCCACGGAGACUGAGCACCCAGAGAUACCGCCUGCAGCAGCCACUGCCCCCGCCGCCCCCACCCCCACCCCCACCACCCUACUACCCCAGCUUCCUGCCCUACUUCCUGUAAGUAUCCGCACAUCCGCGCCCCAGGUCCCUGAUGCCCUGUUCUCCUGGAACCUCCAGUGGUUAGACCUAAACACAGCUCCAGGGGCCCCAGGGCCUCUGAAGCCAUCUGGCGUUCCCCACUUAACCUGACAGGCACGCCAGCUGGGCUCCCUUCCCCGCUGCAACGUUCUGGGCUCUGUUUGCAAGGAGGGAGUCAGGAGAGUGGCUCUGUGUGCCCCACUCCUGACCUUGACCCUGGGCCCCCACACUUGUCUCUCUCUAGCUCGAUGCUGCCAAUGUCACCAACAGCAAUGGGGCCCACCAUCAGCCUGGACCUGGACGUGGAUGAUGUGGAGAUGGAGAACUAUGAGGCCCUCCUGAACCUGGCCGAGCGGCUGGGAGAUGCCAAGCCCCGGGGUCUCACCAAAGCAGACAUAGAGCAGCUCCCGUCGUACCGCUUUAACCCGGACAGCCAUCAGUCGGAGCAGACGCUGUGAGUACCCUGCCCCACCUCCCACCCCUCUGAAC